CAGUAGCCACGGUAAUACGAAGGGUGCAAGCGUUAAUCGGAAUUACUGGGCGUAAAGCGUGCGUAGGCGGCUUCUUAAGUCGGAUGUGAAAUCCCUGAGCUUAACUUAGGAAUUGCAUUCGAUACUGGGAAGCUAGAGUAUGGGAGAGGAUGGUAGAAUUCCAGGUGUAGCGGUGAAAUGCGUAGAGAUCUGGAGGAAUACCGAUGGCGAAGGCAGCCAUCUGGCCUAAUACUGACGCUGAGGUACGAAAGCAUGGGGAGCAAACAGGAUUAGAUACCCCGGUAGUCCCUGUCUCUUAUAC
rnacentral:rRNA from 1 species